rnacentral:rRNA from 1 species
UAGGGAAUCUUCCACAAUGGGCGAAAGCCUAAUGGAGCAACGCCGCGUGUGUGAUGAAGGGUUUCGGCUCGUAAAACACUGUUGUAAGAGAAGAAUGACAUUGAGAGUAACUGUUCAAUGUGUGACGGUAUCUUACCAGAAAGGAACGGCUAAAUACGUGCCAG